GAUGAACGCUGGCGGCAGGCUUAAUACAUGCAAGUCGAACGGUAACAGGCCUAGCAAUAGGUGCUGACGAGUGGCGCACGGGUGCGUAACGCGUAUGCAACCUACCCAUAAUUGGAACAUAACGUUGAGAAAUCGGCGCUAAUAUUCCAUGUGAAUGAGAUAUGGCAUCAUAUUUUAUUUAAAGAUUUAUUGAUUAUGGAUGGGCAUGCGUAUCAUUAGCUAGUUGGAGUGGUAACGGCACACCAAGGCAACGAUGAUUCGGGGUUCUGAGAGGAUAUCCCCCCACACUGGAACUGAGACACGGUCCAGACUCCUACGGGAGGCAGCAGUAGGGAAUAUUGGGCAAUGGAGGCAACUCUGACCCAGCCAUGCCGCGUGAAGGAAGACGGUCCUAUGGAUUGUAAACUUCUUUUAUCAUAGAGUAACCGCGGGGACGUGUCCCCGCCUGCAAGUAUAUGAUGAAUAAGCAUCGGCUAACUCCGUGCCAGCAGCCGCGGUAAUACGGAGGAUGCAAGCGUUAUCCGGAUUUAUUGGGUUUAAAGGGUGCGCAGGCGGAGCGGUAAGUCAGAGGUGAAAUCUUGCUGCUUAACAGCACAACUGCCUUUGAUACUGCCGUACUAGAGUUUAAAUGACGUUACCGGAAUGUGAUGUGUAGCGGUGAAAUGCAUAGAUAUGUCACAGAACGCCGAUCGUGUAGACAGGUAACGAAUUUAAUACAGGCGGCCGCACUAGUGAUUGGGAUCAAACAGGAUUAGAUACCCUGGUAGUCCACGCCGUAAACGAUGAUUACUGGUUGUAUGCGAUAUAUCGUAUGUGACUAAGCGAAAGCGAUAAGUAAUCCACCUGGGGAGUACGCCGGCAACGGUGAAACUCAAAGGAAUUGACGGGGGCCCGCACAAGCGGAGGAGCAUGUGGUUUAAUUCGAUGAUACGCGAGGAACCUUACCCGGGCUUGAAUUGCAGUGGAAUAAUCUGGAAACAGGUUAGUCUUCGGACCACUGUGAAGGUGCUGCAUGGUUGUCGUCAGCUCGUGCCGUGAGGUGUUAGGUUAAGUCCUGCAACGAGCGCAACCCUUACAUUUAGUUGCCAGCAUGUUAAGAUGGGGACUCUAAAUGAACUGCCUACGCAAGUAGAGAGGAAGGUGGGGAUGACGUCAAAUCAGCACGGCCCUUAUGUUCGGGGCUACACACGUGCUACAAUGGUCGGUACAGAGGGCAGCUACCCUGCGAGGGGAUGCGAAUCUCAAAAGCCGAUCUCAGUUCGGAUCGGAGUCUGUAACUCGACUCCGUGAAGUUGGAUUCGCUAGUAAUCGCGCAUCAGCCAUGGCGCGGUGAAUACGUUCCCGGGCCUUGUACACACCGCCCGUCAAGCCAUGGAAGCCUGUGGUACCUAAAGUCCGUGCCCGCAAGGAGCGGCCUAGGGU
rnacentral:rRNA from 1 species